rnacentral:rRNA from 1 species
AUGGCUUCCAUCGUGUCCAAGCUCGCGCGGGCAGCCUUAGCAACCCGCGCCUCUCCCUCAGCCGUUGGAGGUAUUGCUGGUGGCGGUCGCCCUGCAGCCGCCAUCCGUGUCUCCCCUGCAGGAGGCCCCAAGUCAGAAGAAGAAGAGAAAGCCAGACCCAAGUCACAAGUAGCUCCAGAUGAUGAAAUCAUACACCCCCAUCUCGCUGUUGAUGAGAAUGCACUUAAGUCCGACGAAGCCAUGUGGGCCUUCUAUGAGCACUGGUGCAAGUUUCAUGGCAUAUCGCGUGACCGUCUUGAGAUGGAACGCCGGUUCAACACAUUUAGUGAUACAGCAAGGCUUGUGCACAAGAUCAACAAUUCUCUUGUGGAUGGCGAGUUGUUAAUGACCAGAUUUUCAGAUCAGACCAAGGCGGAGAGAUCUCGUCGUUCACUAGGAUAUAGGCGCACGAAAAAAUGA